rnacentral:rRNA from 1 species
UAAACGAUGUCGACUUGGAGGUUGUGCCCUUGAGGCGUGGCUUCCGGAGCUAACGCGUUAAGUCGACCGCCUGGGGAGUACGGCCGCAAGGUUAAAACUCAAAUGAAUUGACGGGGGCCCGCACAAGCGGUGGAGCAUGUGGUUUAAUUCGAUGCAACGCGAAGAACCUUACCUACUCUUGACAUCCACAGAAUUCGGCAGAGAUGCCUUAGUGCCUUCGGGAACUGUGAGACAGGUGCUGCAUGGCUGUCGUCAGCUCGUGUUGUGAAAUGUUGGGUUAAGUCCCGCAACGAGCGCAACCCUUAUCCUUUGUUGCCAGCGCGUAAUGGCGGGAACUCAAAGGAGACUGCCGGUGAUAAACCGGAGGAAGGUGGGGAUGACGUCAAGUCAUCAUGGCCCUUACGAGUAGGGCUACACACGUGCUACAAUGGCGUAUACAAAGAGAAGCGAACUCGCGAGAGCCAGCGGACCUCAUAAAGUACGUCGUAGUCCGGAUCGGAGUCUGCAACUCGACUCCGUGAAGUCGGAAUCGCUAGUAAUCGUAGAUCAGAAUGCUACGGUGAAUACGUUCCCGGGCCUUGUACACACCGCCCGUCACACCAUGGGAGUGGGUUGCAAAAGAAGUAGGUAGCUUAACCUUCGGGAGGGCGCUUACCACUUUGUGAUUCAUGACUGGGGUGAAGUCGUAACAAGGUAACCGUAGGGGAACCUGCGGUUG